rnacentral:rRNA from 1 species
CCGCCCGUCACACCAUGGGAGUUGGUUUCACCCGAAGGCGUUGCGCUGACCUCGCAAGAGGAGGCAGGCGACCACGGUGGGAUCAGCGACUGGGGUG